rnacentral:tRNA from 1 species
GUAUUUGGCUUGGUGGUAGAGUACUGGACUUUAGUUCCAGUACAUCUAGACCAUGAGACCUUGAGUUCAACUCUCACGAAAUAUG